rnacentral:rRNA from 1 species
AGCAGUCGCCGCGGGAAUACGAAGGGGGCUAGCGUUGUUCGGAAUUACUGGGCGUAAAGCGCACGUAGGCGGAUAUUUAAGUCAGGGGUGAAAUCCCGCAGCUCAACUGCGGAACUGCCCUUGAUACUGGGUAUCUUGAGUAUGGAAGAGGUUAGUGGAAUUGCGAGUGUAGAGGUGAAAUUCGUAGAUAUUCGCAGGAACACCAGUGGCGAAGGCGGCUAACUGGUCCAUAACUGACGCUGAGGUGCGAAAGCGUGGGGAGCAAACAGGAUUAGAUACCCCUGUAGUCCCUGUCUCUUAUAA